GACGAACGCUGGCGGCGUGCUUAACACAUGCAAGUCGAACGGAAAGGCCCUGCUUUUGUGGGGUGCUCGAGUGGCGAACGGGUGAGUAACACGUGAGUAACCUGCCCUUGACUUUGGGAUAACUUCAGGAAACUGGGGCUAAUACCGGAUAGGAGCUCCUGCUGCAUGGUGGGGGUUGGAAAGUUUCGGCGGUUGGGGAUGGACUCGCGGCUUAUCAGCUUGUUGGUGGGGUAGUGGCUUACCAAGGCUUUGACGGGUAGCCGGCCUGAGAGGGUCACCGGCCACAUUGGGACUGAGAUACGGCACAGACUCCUACGGGAGGCAGAAGUGGGGGAUAUUGCACGAUGGGCUGAAGCCUAAUGCAGCAACGCCGCGUGCGGGAUGACGGCCUUCGGGUUGUAAACCGCUUUCGCCUGUGACGAAGCGUGAGUGACGGUAAUGAGUAAAGAAGCACCGGCUAACUACGUG
rnacentral:rRNA from 1 species